AUUGAUAAUACCCAGUUUAUCAAUUAAUCUAAUUUGUUGGAUUUUUUUUUUUACUGCAUUUAUAUAGCUCUUACACAGCUUUUUUUAGUCAACAUCACCAUACAUUCCUUUUUGCAAUAUCAGCCUUGAGCCACUCCUUCGCUCCCUGCCAAUAACCUAAUGUUCUGUGUGCACUACAUAGCCCCAGUCCUAGCCUCCUAGGAUAGUACCUUACCCCUCCCUUUCUCAUCCUUCCAUAAUUACCCCUCCCCUCGUCCGCAUGUUACCAUUCCAAUUCACACUCUUUCCCUUCUAUCCUGCACCAUUCGCUGUGUCCUCCAAGGGCAAUCCAGUCAAAGAAAAAAAAUCCACAGGGCAUUCAGCUUAGAUUUUCUUUGUAUCCAAGGAAGAUCUCCCCCCC
rnacentral:lncRNA from 1 species